rnacentral:rRNA from 1 species
GGCAACAGCUCAAAUUUGAAAUCUGGCCCCCCGGCCCGAGUUGUAAUUUGCAGAGGAUGCUUUUGGUGAGGCACCUACCGAGUCCCCUGGAAUGGGGCGCCAUAGAGGGUGAGAGCCCCGUAUGGUAGGACGCCGAGCCUCUGUAAAGCUCCUUCGACGAGUCGAGUAGUUUGGGAAUGCUGCUCUAAAUGGGAGGUAAAUUUCUUCUAAAGCUAAAUACCGGCCAGAGACCGAUAGCGCACAAGUAGAGUGAUCGAAAGAUGAAAAGCACUUUGAAAAGAGGGUUAAAAAGUACGUGAAAUUGUUGAAAGGGAAGCGCUUGUGACCAGACUUGCGCCGGGCGGAUCAUCCAGCGUUCUCGCUGGUGCACUCCGCCCGGUUCAGGCCAGCAUCGGCUUUCGCCGGGGGACAAAGGCUUCGGGAACGUGGCUCCUUUCGGGGAGUGUUAUAGCCCGUUGCGUAAUACCCCGGCGGGGACCGACGACCGCGCUUCGGCAAGGAUGCUGGCGUAAUGGUCAUCAGCGACCCGUCUUGAAACACGGACCGAGGAGUCAAGCAUUAGUGCGAGUGUUUGGGUGUAAAACCCGCACGCGUAAUGAAAGUGAACGUAGGUGAGAGCUUCGGCGCAUCAUCGACCGAUCCUGAUGUUUUCGGAAGGAUUUGAGUAGGAGCAUUAACGCUUGGACCCGAAAGAUGGUGAACUAUACUUGAAUAGGGUGAAGCCAGAGGAAACUCUGGUGGAGGCUCGCAGCGGUUCUGACGUGCAAAUCGAUCGUCAAAUUUGAGUAUAGGGGCGAAAGACUAAUCG